UCUAAAAUCCUACUGCCUGGAACAUACUUGAUCCCACUUGAUCUCACAGGCUAAGCUGGGCCAGACCUGGUUAAUACUUGGAUGGGAAACAAAGGCUGAUUUUAAUA
rnacentral:rRNA from 1 species